CUUCACUUCCUUCAUCUCUCUCAAAGUCAAGAACCCUAGCCCGCUGCCCUGAAACUCCUAAGCUUCCACCGGCCGGCGGCGGAGCCCAAUCGACCCUAAAACCCUACCACACAACCAUCACCCACCCCUGAUUCCCAAUCCACCACCACAUCUCCCAAAAUCCCCACCAAAUCCGGCCAGUUUUGGAUCUUAAAAAGAAGAAGAAGAAAAAGAAAAAGAAAAAUCUCUCAAGUAUUCGAGUUUCCAAGAACGAUUAGGGCUGAAAUUGGUAUUGUUCGUCUGUUCUCGACGAGAACACGCGAUUGAUGCCAAUUUCGGUUCAAAUCGAAGUUUGCCUGAGGUUUGUCAAGCCCUGUUCAUUUGCCUAUUCUAGCUGUUUUUGGUUGUAUCCAGAUACAUUUUCGAAUCCUUGGAGUGGAAAUGUGAAUGUUGAAUGAAAGAUGGUGUUCCAAUGUCUAAAUUCUAGCCUCACUUUAAAGUCUGGUCUUAGUAGUCUUGUUAUGGCUUGAUGUUUAUCAAUUAGUUUGUUUACAGUUUUAACUGAACUUGGUAUAAUUACAUUGAAUGUUAUGUAGUUGUUUGUAAUCGUAAGUUUGGACUUUCAGUUUACUUCUUUAGCUUCAAGUGUAUUCGAAUAGAUUUCUAGUUCAUUAUUAGGGGUCUAAUGACAUGACAUAUUACUGCUUGAUUCA